rnacentral:tRNA from 1 species
UCCCUCGUGAUCCAGUGGCUAAGACUCUGCACUCCCAAUGCAAGGGGCCCAGGUUCAAUCCCUGGUCAGGGAA